AGCGAACGCUGGCGGCAGGCCUAACACAUGCAAGUCGAACGAAGUCUUCGGAUUUAGUGGCGGACGGGUGAGUAACACGUGGGAACGUACCUUUUGGUUCGGAACAACCCAGGGAAACUUGAGCUAAUACCGGAUGAGCCCUUAGGGGGAAAGAUAUAUCGCCGAAAGAGCGGCCCGCGUUAGAUUAGCUAGUUGGUGAGGUAAAGGCUCACCAAGGCUACGAUCUAUAGCUGGUCUGAGAGGAUGAUCAGCCACACUGGGACUGAGACACGGCCCAGACUCCUACGGGAGGCAGCAGUUGGGAAUCUUGCGCAAUGGGCGAAAGCCUGACGCAGCCAUGCCGCGUGAAUGAUGAAGGUCUUAGGAUUGUAAAAUUCUUUUACCAGGGACGAUAAUGACGGUACCUGGAGAAAAAGCCCCGGCUAACUUCGUGCCAGCCGCCGCCGUAAAAC
rnacentral:rRNA from 1 species